rnacentral:rRNA from 2 species
GGGAUUGCCCUAGUAACGGCGAGUGAAGCGGCAACAGCUCAAAUUUGAAAUCUGGCCCCCUCGGGGCCCGAGUUGUAAUUUGUAGAGGGUGCUUUGGCGUUGGCUGUGGUCUAAGUUCCUUGGAACAGGACGUCACAGAGGGUGAGAAUCCCGUACGUGGCCGCCAGCCUCCGCCGUGUAAAGCCCCUUCGACGAGUCGAGUUGUUUGGGAAUGCAGCUCUAAAUGGGAGGUAAAUUUCUUCUAAAGCUAAAUAUUGGCCAGAGACCGAUAGCGCACAAGUAGAGUGAUCGAAAGAUGAAAAGCACUUUGGAAAGAGAGUCAAAAAGCACGUGAAAUUGUUGAAAGGGAAGCGCUUGCAGCCAGACUUGCCCGCAGUUGCUCACCCGGGCCCUCGCCCGGGGCACUCUUCUGCGGGCAGGCCAGCAUCAGUCCGGGCGGUCGGAUAAAAGCCUGCUAAAUGUACCUCCCCUCGGGGAGGACUUAUAGGGCAGGUGGCAUGCGACCAGCCCGGAUUGAGGUCCGCGCUUCGGCUAGGAUGCUGGCGUAAUGGCUGUAAGCGGCCCGC